rnacentral:rRNA from 1 species
CUUGAUUUAUUUCUUGAGUGUGUACUUGUUAAGCCUUAUAAGAAAAGAGUUAUUAACUUAAGGAAUUAUAACAAAGAAGUAACACGUAAUGGAUUAGUCCAUUUUUAGUGUGUAUCAAUCGAGUUUCUGACCUAUCAGCUUUUGAUGUUAGGGUAUUGGCCUAACAUGGCUAUGACGGGUAACGGGGAAUUAGAGUUCGAUUCCGGAGAGGGAGCCUGAGAAAUAGCUACCACAUCUAAGGAAGGCAGCAGGCGCGUAAAUUACCCAAUUCUAAAGAAGAGAGGUAGUGACAAGAAAUAACAAUACAAGGCCAAUCUGGCUUUGUAAUUGGAAUGAUGGGAAUUUAAAACCUUCCCAAAAUUCAAUUGGAGGGCAAGUCUGGUGCCAGCAGCCGCGGUAAUUCCAGCUCCAAUAGCGUAUAUUAAAAUUGUUGCAGUUAAAACGCUCGUAGUUGAAUUUCAAAGAAUCGAUAUUUUAAGUAACGCUUUUAGCUAUAUAUCCACAUAACUGAUGCCUCUGCGUAUCGACUUUGUGUGCAUUUUAGCUAUUAUGUGUUCUUUUAAUUAAAAUGAUUCUUUUUAAGAUUCAUCUAUAAAAAAUUUGCUUCGGCAUAAUUUUUUUUGAUGAUCUUGUUACUUUGAGUAAAUUAGAGUGUUCAAAGCAAACAGAUAUAGCAUUUGUGCGUUUGAAUACUACAGCAUGGAAUAACAAAAUUGAACAAGUCAGAAUUUUUUUGUUCUUUUUUCUUAUUUUGGCUUAGUUACGAUUAAUAGGAGUAGCUUGGGGGCAUUUGUAUUCAGAUGUCAGAGGUGAAAUUCUUAGAUUUUCUGGAGACAAACAACUGCGAAAGCAUUUGCCUAAAAUACUUCCAUUAAUCAAGAACGAAAGUUAAGGGAGUGAAGACGAUCAGAUACCGUCGUAAUCUUAACCAUAAACUAUGCCGACUAGGC